UUGGGAAGAGGAGUGGGUGAGAAAAAAUUAAUGGGGAUGAAGGUGAGUGGAAUGGGGAUAAAGAGGUGAGAUGAAUGGGAGUAAAGAGGUGAGAUGAAGGGAGUAACGGUCAUGUCGUAACGGUCAAUAACAUUUUACGAGGAAACAAGCUGUCACGCUCGUGACAGCAUGUGUUACGGGCGUCAUGGGGUGCGUGGCGACCGUGACAGCCUGUGUGACGCUCGUCACACUUCUGAGUUUG
rnacentral:lncRNA from 1 species